UGAUAUUUAUUGAAUAAAUACACACAGCACAUAUUUUAUGGCAGAGGACUUUCACAUUUUUCUCCACGAAAGAAUUUCAUUAUUUUAAUACAGUUUAAUAUCUUAGGUGAAUAAAUAUUUUUAAAAGCUUAAGACAGGGUUUUGUAAUUAUGCAUAGCCACCUGUUCUGAGUCAUAUAUUUAGUUGGGAAUGCUAAGCCUACAGAUUUACAGUUUUUCCAUUUGGACUCUGAAUUCUGGCCUGAAUCUGUCACAUAAUUUCUAAGGAGUUUUAUACACAGAACAGCCUGAACGACAGUCCAAACCACCAAGAACAGUCAUCGGUCCUGAUGGAGGCUAACGUCUCCGAGUCAGACUGGCUGUUCGCUGCUAUUUAUGUCAGAGCACGCCCAGUGGCGGAAUCAAGAUGAUGGGGCUGUGGAAGCGAAGGGGAUAGACGUACUCUGACUCCCCCCUGCAAUGCAGCAUUAUCCGUGACUGAUGCUUUCUUGCAUCGUCGAGGAUAUUGCAGUUAGAUGUAGCCCCGUGGCAAAGAGACCAGAUAAAGAAUUAUUAGCAGGCAAAUGAGCAAGUACAACAGAGAUUGUUCCAAAAGUCUUUGGCCCUUUGUUUACACUUUGGGAAAAAGCUGGAGGAGCAGCAAUGAUGGAAGUCGGCCUCCCUGCUGUUCUCACGUGUUUCAUAGACUCAGAUCAUUGGAAGAUGUGUUCUUAAUAGUGAGAGAGAGACCAAGAAAGUGUCUACCAAACAUCCACCAGUUGAAUUGGAGAACAUGGACAAGAUUGCUAUGUAAACUGUGAAGUUCUGAUUCUACAACAUACUGCAGGAUGGGGUUUUCAUAGGAUCUCUCUAGGCAACAAAUGGAUAGAAAUCCAUUUAUCACUGAAAAUAAGCACAAUUACUUAAUAAACUGUUUACUUGACAGCUGGCA
rnacentral:lncRNA from 1 species